AGAGUUUGAUCAUGGCUCAGGAUGAACGUUGGCGGUGUGCCUAAUACAUGCAAGUCGAACGGUGAUAUUUUUGUAGUAAUACGAAUUUAUCAUAGUGGCGAACGGGUGAGUAACGCGUUGGUGAUCUGCCUCGAAGUGUGGAAUAACGUCCCGAAAGGAACGCUAAUACCGCAUGUGCCCUCGAUUUUUAGAAAGUUGAGAGUAAAGGAUUUAUUCGCUUCGAGAGGAGCCUGCGUCCCAUCAGCUAGUUGGUAAGGUAAUGGCCUACCAAGGCAAUGACGGGUAGGGGACCUGAGAGGGUGGCCCCCCACAAUGGAACUGAAACACGGUCCAUACACCUACGGGUGGCAGCAGUAGGGAAUAUUAGAAAUGGACGAAAGUCUGAUCUAGCGACACCGCGUGUGCGAUGAAGGCCUUCGGGUUGUAAAGCACUUUUUGGAAGGAAUAGGAAGGAAGGUACUUCCAGAAUAAGUCUCGGCUAACUACGUGCCAGCAGCCGCGGUAACACGUAGGAGGCAAACGUUAUCCGGAUUUACUGGGCGUAAAGCGCGUGUAGGUGGUUCUGUAAGUAGGGCGUGAAAGCUCCUGGCUCAACUGGGAGAGGCCGUUCUAAACUACAGAACUAGAGGAUGGUAGAGGGAGGUGGAAUUCCAGGUGUAGCGGUGGAAUGCGCAGAUAUCUGGAGGAACACCAGUGGCGAAGGCGGCCUCCUGGACCAUUCCUGACACUCAGUACGCGAAAGCUAGGGUAGCAAACGGGAUUAGAGACCCCGGUAGUCCUAGCCCUAAACGAUGUAGACUAGACGUCGGUGGUGUAAUAGCUGUCGGUGUCCAAGCUAACGCGAUAAGUCUACCGCCUGGGGACUACGGCCGCACGGUUAAAACUCAAAGGAAUUGACGGGUCCCCGCACAAGCAGCGGAGCGUGUGGUUUAAUUCGUUGCUACACGAAGAACCUUACCUGGGUUUGACAUAGCAGUGGUAGGGAAGAGAAAUCGGACCGACCCUUCGGGGAGCUGUUACAGGUGUUGCAUGGCUGUCGUCAGCUCGUGUCGUGAGAUGUUCGGUUAAGUCCGCUAACGAGCGCAACCCGCGUUGUGUGUUAUAUGUGUCACACAAUACCGCCGGUAUUAAGUCGGAGGAAGGUGCGGAUGACGUCAAGUCAGCAUGACCUUUAUAUCCAGGGCUACACACACGCUACAAUGGACAGUACAACAGGUUGCCAAGCCGCGAGGCGGAGCCAAUCCUCUAAAGCUGUCCUCAGUUCAGAUUGCAGGCUGAAACUCGCCUGCAUGAAGUUGGAGUUGCUAGUAACCGCAGGUCAGCUAUACUGCGGUGAAUACGUUCCCGGGGAUUGUACACACCGCCCGUCAAGUCAUGGAAGCUGGCAACACCUGAAGCCGGUAUCCUAACCCGUAAGGGAGGGAGCUGUCAAAGGUGGGGUUGGUGACUGGGACUAAGUCGUAACAAGGUA
rnacentral:rRNA from 1 species